rnacentral:rRNA from 1 species
AUCGAACGCUGGCGGCAGGCUUAACACAUGCAAGUCGAACGAGUGGCGGACGGGCGAGUAAUGUCUGGGAAACUGCCCGAUGGAGGGGGAUAACUACUGGAAACGGUAGCUAAUACCGCAUACCAUCGGAUGUGCCCAGGUGGGAUUAGCUAGUGGGUGGGGUAACGGCUCACCUAGGCGACGAUCCCUAGCCGGUCUGAGAGGAUGACCGGCCAAACUGGAACUGAGACACGGUCCGGACUCCUACGGUAGGCAGCAGUGGGGAAUAUUGCGCAAUGGGUGCAACCCUGACGAAGCCAUGCCGCGUGAAUGAAGAGGGCCUUCGGGUUGUAAAGUUCUUUCGGUAGCGAGGCGUUAACUACAGAGGAAGCACCGGCUAACUCCGUGCCAGCAGCCGCGGUAAUAG